rnacentral:rRNA from 1 species
GAUGAACGCUAGCGGCAGGCCUAAUACAUGCAAGUCGAACGGUGUCUUCGGACAUAGUGGCGCACGGGUGCGUAACACGUAUGCAACCUACCUUACAUUGGGGGAUAGCCUUUCGAAAGGGAGAUUAAUACCGCAUAAGACAGUAGCUGGGCAUCCAGCAGCUGUUAAAGAUUUAUCGAUGUAAGCUGGGCAUGCGUCCAAUUAGCUAGUUGGUGAGGUAACGGCUCACCAAGGCAAUGAUUGGUAGGGGAACUGAGAGGUCAAUCCCCCACACUGACACUGAGAUACGGGCCAGACUCCUACGGGAGGCAGCAGUAGGGAAUAUUGGGCAAGGGACGCAAGUCUGACCCAGCCAUGCCGCGUGCAGGAUGAAGGCGUUAUGCGUUGUAAACUGCUUUUAUACAGGAAGAAACGACUCUUGCGAGAGGCAUUGACGGCACUGUAUGAAUAAGCACCGGCUAACUCCGUGCCAGCCGCCGCCGUAACAC